rnacentral:antisense_RNA from 1 species
GACAGCACGUCUGUACCCAGGCGCUCAUUAGAACAGCGUGUUGCUCCACACCGCCUUGUGGUGUUUGUUACCGCGCUCUUGGGGUUCGAACGCAUACAGCAGGCUUGCAGCUAUUUCAUUGGUUUAAACUUUUUUUUUUUAUUGCAAAUGAAAAUUACUAUCAACUAUCAUUACAAAGCUGUAGAAUAUGAAGUUCGAAGGAAAACGCUGAAUCAGUAUACAAAAGCGUCUCAAUCAGACUCAUCCGUUUUGAAGCAAUUCCUCUGCCAUUUUGCCACCUCCUCUCAAAUUCAGCGACUUACCAGAAAGCCUGUGUGGAUGAAUAUUGCUUCCAGGAUUCACAUAAUUACAUCUAAAAUCAUAGAAUGUUAGAGCUGGAAGAAUCUUUAGAGUUUGCCCAAGGUCCUUCACCAGCAUUUUACAGAAGAUUCUUCGAUUUAACUGCUCUUAAUUACAUCCCGUUGCACUGGUCGCAUCAAGUUGCUUUAAACAGCCCUUCUAGUCAACAGAGCUGCAGAGAAAAACCUUGAGCUGUCACACUUCAUUUGUGAGAACACUCCGGAGCUUCCUCCAGCUGCUGAUUCCAAACCAGCUUCAC